rnacentral:lncRNA from 1 species
UCUACUUUAAAAGUCAACUCUGAAAAUGAGAAGCAUUUCCUCUUAUUUCCACAAGUUUAUUGUGUGUGAAUCCCUAGAAGAAUUUGGCAAUAAUAAUAAAAAUAAGGAACGAUGAUGCACCACCAAAUGUAUUUACUGCAGUAUCAGUGGUGCUAAAGAUGUGCUUGGAAACCUAUGUAAAUCACUGAAUAACUUUUUCCCAAACCACAGCUGGCUGAGAGAAUUUUAUUAAAACACAAUUUCGUCUAAACAUGCUAUUUUAUCAGAAUUGACACGUCCAGCAGAACAACGCUUGCUCCAGUGAAGGGCUGCUCUGAGGAAUGUUCUGGUCGACACAAGAGAGAGCACGAUCGAAGAUGUGAAAACACGUGAAAAUCGUUAAACGCCGUUGUUUAUUGGAGCUGACAGGAGAAACACAAGCAGUUGUCGGUUGCUUCUGCGAGAGUGGUGUCUACCAGCGGUGGAAUGAACAUGACGGAGCCGAUCUGCCGGCAGCGCUCCCGGAUCGAGCCACCGCCACCGUCCCAGGCAGGAGGGACAAGCUGGUGGAGGGGACAUGCUGCCAUGGGAGGAGACGGCUUCUGCAGGAGGCGGUGGUGAAAGGUGCUGGAUUGACAAGCCGUGGAGACGGAAGGGCCUCUGGACUCCGCUGAAGUUUACAUUUACAAAGGACACAGAGAAUAAAUAGAAGACAGUGUUUAGAGUCCUCUGUAGA